AGAUCACUCAAGACUCUUAACCUUUCUGGCUGCUCAAAUCUUAGGCACUGUCCGGAAGUUGCAGGGAACAUAGUGUAUUUAAAUUUAAAUGGGACUGCGAUAGAAGAGGUUCCCAAAUCAAUUGGGCAUCUAAGUGGACUCAUUACCUUGAAUUUGAGGGAUUGUAAGCAACUCAGUAAUCUUCCAGAAAGCACUUGUUUGUUGAAAUCACUGAUGACUAUCGAUCUCUCUGGCUGCUCAAAUAUCACUUGUUUUCCAAAUCUUUCAGGGGACAUAAGAUACUUGUACAUGGGAGAAACUGCAAUAGAAGCAGUCCCCUCUUCAAUCGAUCAUCUCUCUAGACUCUCAUGUUUGGAUCUAAAGAAGUGCACAAGGCUUAAGAAUCUUCCUUCUACUAUUUUUAAGUUGGACUCACUUGAAAAUCUUAUUCUCUCUGGCUGCUCAAACAUCACCGAGUGUCCGCAGCUUUCAUGGAAAAUAAAAAAGUUGUUUUUAGAUGAGACUGCAAUAGAG
rnacentral:misc_RNA from 1 species